rnacentral:rRNA from 1 species
GCAAGUUAAUAUUAGAUACGAGUAGUACCCUCCUUCUAAUCCCCCAUCACUAAGUGAUGGGGGAUAGUGAGAGGAACGAGCUGCCUAGAGAAAUCGAACAAGAAAUAAUGUAAUAGUAUCUAAAAUUAGACCCGAAGACUAGUGAUCUUACCUUUAUCAGGAUUAUAAAAGUCCGAACGGGUUAUCGUUGUAAAGAUAUCCGAGGAAUAAAGGUAAGUUAGUGAAAGACAAAACUGACUAGUUUAGCUGGUUUUCCGCGAAACCUAUAUAAGUAGGUAAUUUAAAUAACAUCUUAGCAGGUACAGAACUGUGAUCUCGGUCAAGCUAAGGGUUUUGAAAAGAGCCUGGACGUUUGUAUACAUCGGGGGAUCGUGAAGAUUUUAUCGGAGUGUAUUUGCUCUCGGAAGGGUUAAGAUGAAUUUUAAACAAUCGGACAUAGAGCGAUAAGGUUGUAUGUCUAAAGGGAAACAGCCCAGAACAAGAGUUAAUAAGGUUCCAAAAUUAUUGUUAAGUGAAAUAAAGGAUGUGCCUUUGAAUACAAUCAGGAAAUAGGCUUAGAAGCGGCCAUUUUUUGAAGAUCUCGUAACAGAGCACUGAUAAUUAUUAGAAGGAUUGCACCGAAAAUUUAACGGAUCUAAACAAUAUACCGAAACCUUGUCCAAAAUAAAAUAUUUAUGUUUAUUUUGGGGUAGCGGAACAUUGGAUAAAUAUAAGAUUAAAUCUUUUUAAGAUUUAAAAAUAAAUAUAAUCCAAGAGAGAAUGCUGAUAUGAGUAACGAAAAAGAAAUUAAAUAUUGCUCGCCUAAAGCUUAUGGUAGACACCGCUCAAAUUUACGGCCUCUAAAUUUUAGCUAAUUAAAUGAUGAGUAACUUUUGAGUAUUUAUAAUUUCACUUUACUGGGUAAUGUGGUUUUUUGAUUAAGCAGUCCAACUUAAACAAAACUAAAUAUAGUAAAUUUAGUUCAGGAAAUUUAAGCAGUUGGUAAGCUGAAAUUAAAAUAGUGAUAAGUGAGCCUUAUACAGAAACAUUAUCUGAACAAAUCUUUUUUUGUAUUAUAGCAAAAAAAAGUGGUUUGUUCUUUGUAUUAUAGCAAAAAAACGGAUUUUAUCUAUAACACGAUUCAAUCUAGAAUCAAGACAGGAAUAUUAGUCAACCUCGGCUUGCGAGGUAAAUCCUUGAAACCUGUAUUUCUGAGGUGUAAGAUGUAAAAAAAAUGAGAUAAUCACCUGUAGGUCCGUGAGCGGUAAAGUAAAAUGUUUUUAGAAAGAAAAUUAAUAUACCGUUCCUAAAUACUACCGCAAGUAAGCUAGUAGAGAAUACGAAGGCGUUUGAGUAAUCAAUCAUUAAGGAACUCGGCAAAUUGACUCACGUAACUUCGGGAUAAGGUGGGCCAUUCUCAUAAGGUUUAAUUAAUAAGCAUGAGAAGAGGAAGCAUGGAAUAGUGUUGUACGACUGUUUAAUUAAAACACAGCACUCUGCUAAGAUGUAAAUCGAAAUAUUGAGUGUGAUGUCUGCCCUGUGUCGGCUGGGUAACGGAUUUGCUUAGAACUAAAAGGUUAGGCUUUGAAGGAAACCCCGACAAACGGCGGCCUUACCGAUGAGGGUCCUAAGGUAGCGGAAUACCCUGGCCGUUAAAUGCGGUCUUGCAUGAAUGAUGUAACGAUACAACAGCUGUCUCGAUGAUUGGCUCAGUGAAAUUGGAAUAACUGUGCAGAUACAGUUUACCUCUAGAUAGACGAGAAGACCCUAUGCAGCUUUACUGUUACUAAUUUAGGCUAUAUUAUAAGAAUUUUAAGCGUAAAAGGUAGUUUUGGUGUUGAAAAAUCCAAUUGGAACUUCAUCAACCCCAUUUGGAUCCAACAGAUUGUAACUUAGUUUCCCCCUAAAAGGUCACUAUUUUAUUUAAACGACAAUGAAACACCUUUAUUUACUUUAUUAUAGUCGGUUGAUUGGAAGACAGUUUAUGCGGGGCACAGAUCCCACAAAAAGUACCUGGGUAUAUCCAAAAUUCUAAUAGUAAAAUCGCAUGUUUUAUUCUGCGAGAGAAAACGUGAAUAUUUACGUCAGAUCUGUUUUUUACUUUUAGUUUGCUAUUAAUUAAUAAAUAGAUAAAUAAUUAUUCAGUUACAAGUGUCUUAAAUACAAUUAUAAAAUUUAUUUAAGUAAGAUUUUAACUAUAUGGUAAAUAGUUGUAAAUAAAUAUUAAUAUUAUUGUCUCUAGAUGUAUUUGACCUUUUUGGCGGAAACAUUAGAGACAUUAUAUAUUAAUUUUUAUAUUUGUAAUAAAUUAGUAAGUUUAAGCAA